GGGGGCCCGCACAAGCGGUGGAGCAUGUGGUUUAAUUCGAUGCAACGCGAAGAACCUUACCUGGUCUUGACAUCCACAGAACUUGCCAGAGAUGGCUUGGUGCCUUCGGGAACUGUGAGACAGGUGCUGCAUGGCUGUCGUCAGCUCGUGUUGUGAAAUGUUGGGUUAAGUCCCGCAACGAGCGCAACCCUUAUCCUUUGUUGCCAGCGGUCCGGCCGGGAACUCAAAGGAGACUGCCAGUGAUAAACUGGAGGAAGGUGGGGAUGACGUCAAGUCAUCAUGGCCCUUACGACCAGGGCUACACACGUGCU
rnacentral:rRNA from 1 species